GUGCUCACUUCGGCAGCACAUAUACUAAAACUGGAAUGGUACAGAGAAGAUUAGCACUGCCCCUGCACAAGGAUGACACAAAAAUUCGUGAACCAUUCCAUAUUUUU
ensembl:snRNA U6 U6 spliceosomal RNA